rnacentral:rRNA from 1 species
GAUGAACGCUGGCGGCGUGCCUAAUACAUGCAAGUCGAGCGAACAGACGAGGAGCUUGCUCUUCUGACGUUAGCGGCGGACGGGUGAGUAACACGUGGAUAACCUACCUAUAAGACUGGGAUAACUUCGGGAAACCGGAGCUAAUACCGGAUAAUAUAUUGAACCGCAUGGUUCAAUGGUGAAAGGCGGCUUUGCUGUCUGCUAUAGAUGGUUCCGGGCCGCAUUAGCUAGUUGGUAAGGGAACGGCUUACCAAGGCACCGAUGCGUAGCCGACCUGAGAGGGUGAUCGGCCACACUGGAACUGAGACACGGUCCAGACUCCUACGGGAGGCAGCAGUAGGGAAUCUUCCGCAAUGGGCGAAAGCCUGACGGAGCAACGCCGCGUGAGUGAUGAAGGUCUUCGGAUCGUAAAACUCUGUUAUUAGGGAAGAACAAAUGUGUAAGUAACUAUGCACGUCUUGACGGUACCUAAUCAGAAAGCCACGGCUAACUACGUG